UACUUUUUUGGGCUCCACAUGGAGUAUUUUUAUUCAAAGAAAAGUGCAAACAAACAACCACUCAGUGCAACCUUUGUUGCAGGUCAGGGUGGGGGUUGGGCGACUGGUGCAGGGAGUACAGUAGGUGUGAAAACCCCUGAUGGGGGGGUGGAUGUGCCUCACUCCCCUCUUCUUAGUGGCUGUGAAAAUGAAGAUAAAUUACUAUGUAGAACACAAAAUAAAUAAUAACAUCUGAACAUUUCCCUGAAGGACACAAAGGUUGUGGAUAUAUGUAAACUUAUUCAAUAAUUUGAGUAACCAUGACCUGUACUAUAUUUUGUUUGCAUUUGUAUUUACUUCAUGUUUUUGUUUUCAUAAAUAAUAUAUUCAAAGACAGAUAAAAUGCAACGUCUGCAAGCAAAGUAAGCCCAAAACGAACAAAUAUAGUGGAACUGCAGUAAUAUUCAAUGCUAUUGGAUUGCCAUACUUACUACUGUGUUUACAGUUUCAUGACAAAGGUGUUAUGCAUAUCAUGCAUAUCAGUCUACACAACACUGAGCCUUAUAAAUAAAUGCAAAUACUUACUAGUAAACGAGGUCCACUUCUAAUGUAAACAAUGCCUCCUCCUCGGAGACGACGUCGUUUCUGCUAAGUCAGAGGAGUCCUCAAAUUCACCGUCUGAGCCCUGCUGAAUUUCUCAUAAAAUGUCCGCCACAUCCCUCUAAGAGUUGAAUGUUUCUUCUCCAUUGUUGAAAAGUACUCAAAAGAAGUUUUAUAAGUGGUGGAGAAAGUUUACAGGAGAGUCCCGAGUGAUCAGCGUGCGAUGCAGCAGUCUGCCUUUGUCU
rnacentral:lncRNA from 1 species